UACGUAGGGUGCGAGCGUUAAUCGGAAUUACUGGGCGUAAAGCGUGCGCAGGCUGUUCUGUAAGUCAGGAUGUGAAAUCCCCGAGCCGUCAACUUGGGAACUGCGUUUGAAACUACAGGACUAGAAUAUGUCAGAGGGGGGUAGAAGUUCCACGUGUAGCAGUGAAAUGCGUAGAGAUGUGGAGGAAUACCAAUGGCGAAGGCAGCCCCCUGGGAU
rnacentral:rRNA from 1 species